UACAGAGGAUGACAAGCGUUAUCCGGAAUGAUUGGGCGUAAAGCGUCUGUAGGUGGCUUUUAAGUCCGCCGUCAAAUCCCAGGGCCUCAACUCUGGACAGGCGGUGGAAACUACCAAGCUGGAGUACGGUAGGGCAGAGGGAAUUUCCGGUGGAGCGGUGAAAUGAUGUAGAGAUCGGAAAGAACACCAACGGCGAAAGGCAACUCUGCUGGGCCGACACUGACACUGAGAGACGAAAGCUAGGGGAGCGAAAUGGG
rnacentral:rRNA from 1 species